GUAGUGAGAGGAAGGAAUGAUGUGUUAGACAACUGCCAAGAAAAGGAUUCUGAUUAAAUCUGCUUUGCAGUGAUGGAACUUCACUUAUUACUGACCUUCCUUUGAUUCUC